rnacentral:lncRNA from 1 species
GUGGUGGCAGGUUCCAAAGAAGAUGCAACAAUGAUCUCCAGAGAUUCCCUCCCAACCUCUAUGACUCCAUAACAACAGCCAGCUGGGACGCAGCCUCUGAUGUGAUCGCAACCUGACUCACCCUGGCUGCCUGCUGGAGCACUGAAGUUGCCCACAAUCAAGAUCAUCAGGAGCAGUUUCCAAGGAGACUACCUCCUUGUGGGUUGAAUCUUCAGCAGGUGCAUAUUAGCUCAUUUCCAGCGAAGUCUGCAGGCAGAAAAUCAACUCUGCUCUUGCCUGACCUUCUCACCUGCUUCCUGUUUUAUCCUCUCAUGGAUGCAACUUUCCCCGUAGGAAAAAGAGAUGGAAAUACACAAGAUCUUGGAUAUGUAAAUAACUUUUCCUGACUUUACCUGACACAUUUCAAAUUUGGCUCUGUGCAAUUCAAUACAGUGUCACACUUGGUGCGUGCCAGCUUUGCAUCUGAAGUUAAAGAGCCAGGGAACUGCACCAGAUCAGACCUCCGAGGAAGAAGCUUUUGCAGGAAUCCAUGACCACACAGAAGGAAAACGGAGACAGCAACCUUGUCUCCCAAAGGUACCUGUGAAAACUCCCAA